AGUGAACGCUGGCGGUAGGCCUAACACAUGCAAGUCGAACGGCAGCACAGUAAGAGCUUGCUCUUACGGGUGGCGAGUGGCGGACGGGUGAGGAAUACAUCGGAAUCUACUUUUUCGUGGGGGAUAACGUAGGGAAACUUACGCUAAUACCGCAUACGAUCUACGGGUGAAAGCAGGGGAUCUUCGGACCUUGCGCGAAUGAAUGAGCCGAUGUCGGAUUGGCUAGUUGGCUGGGUAAAGGCCCACCAAGGCGACGAUCCGUACCUGGUCUGAGAGGAUGAUCGCCCAAACUGGAACUUGAACACGGACCAAACUCCUACGGGAGGACGCAGAGGGGAAUAUUGGACAGUGGGCGCAAGCCUGAUCCAGCCAUACCGCGUGGGUGAAGAAGGCCUUCGGGUUGUAAAGCCCUUUUGUUGGGAAAGAAAAGCGGCAGGUUGAUACCCCGCUGUUCUGACGGUACCCAAAGAAUAAGCACCGGCUAACUACGUG
rnacentral:rRNA from 1 species